rnacentral:rRNA from 1 species
UCGAAUCAGGUAGGAAUACCCGCUGAACUUAAGCAUAUCAUAACCGGGAGGAAAUCUUUCCGAGUUAUACAACUCAUC